GGAAGUAAUGGACGGAGGACACCGCCCAGCUCCAGUGUGCCCAGCACUGCCGGGCCUGGGCAAGGGGCUCAGAACCCAACUGCCACCCUCGGCCCCUGCUCUGCUGCAGCUGUGACACUCCCUUCCGCAUGUGUCAGCAAGGUGACUUGCCUGUUUACUGCUGGCUUCUUGCUAGUGUGAGCCCUGUGAGAGGCAGGACCCCACGCACGGGCUCUCCGGCCCCUACAAGGCGGGGCAUGUAGCAGGACCUGAAUGGCUGAGGAGUGAAUGAACCCCAGUGGCCAUGGACACAGGUCCACAGACGUCCUGCAGACUCAUUCCCUGGGAAGCCUCGCUGCACCUGGCUCCAGGAUGCCACGGGACUCCUGUCACCAGCUGCUUCCUGGCUUCAAUGUCGACUUUGACGUGUGGCCCUUCUUGCAGGGAUGCCGAGCAAGCCGGUCACCUCCACUGGACAACUGGAGCCUUCUAUACUUGAGAUCCAAGGGGAAGAUGUGUGGUCAGGAAGCAGGGAUGGCAUCAGGUGGGACGGCUCAAGUCCAGCGUGGGGCAGAGGCAGCUGCUGAGCAGACCUGGGUCAGAGCCCAGGGCGGCUGGGUGCCCAGCCGGGAAUGUGCCCCUUAACAUGCAUCUGUCAAUAUGUCAAAAACUGUUCUCCUGGGGCCUCAGUUUGUUUCUCAAUGUAGCAAACAUUGUGUUCUCCCUAACCAGAUUCACAUUCA